GGCGAGAUGGCCGAGCGGUCUAAGGCGCCAGACUAAGGCCAGGUGAACAUCGCCAGCCAUCUGGUCCGAAAGGGCGUGGGUUCGAAUCCCACUCUCGUCA